AGUGGGCGUGCAGGAGAAGCUGUAGGUCAGGAGGUAGAGUUGGCAGUGGGCGUGCAGGAGAAGCUGUAGGUCGGAGAGGUAGAGGUGGCAGUGGGCGUGCAGGAGAAGCUGUAGGUCAGGGGGUAGAGGUGGCAGUGGGCGUGCAGGAGAAGCUGUAGGUCAGAGUGGAUAGGUGGCAGUGGGCGUGCAGGAGAAGCUGUAGGUCAGGAGGUAGAGGUGGCAGUGGGCGUGCAGGAGAAGCUGUAGGUCAGGAGGUAGAGGUGGCAGUGGGCGUGCAGGAGAAGCUGUAGGUCAGGAGGUAGAGUUGGCAGUGGGCGUGCAGGAGAAGCUGUAGGUCGGAGAGGUAGAGGUGGCAGUGGGCGUGCAGGAGAAGCUGUAGGUCGGGAGGUAGAGGUGGCAGUGGGCGUGCAGGAGAAGCUGUAGGUCAGAGUGGAGAGGUGGCAGUGGGCGUGCAGGAGAAGGUGUAGGUCGG
rnacentral:lncRNA from 1 species